rnacentral:rRNA from 1 species
GUGGGGAAUAUUGGGCAAUGGGCGAAAGCCUGACCCAGCGACGCCGCGUGAGGGAAGACGGUCUUCGGAUUGUAAACCUCUUUCAGCAGGGAAGAAGAAAGUGACGGUACCUGCAGAAGAAGUCACGGCUAACUACGUGCCAGCAGCCGCGGUAAUACGUAGGUGGCGAGCGUUAUCCGGAAUUACUGGGUGUAAAGGGUGUGUAGGCGGGUCGGCAAGUCAGACGUGAAAAUCAAAGGCUCAACCUUUGACUUGCGUUUGAAACUGUCGAUCUUGAGGAUGGGAGAGGUAAACGGAAUUCCUAGUGUAGUAGUGAAAUGCGUAGAUAUUAGGAGGAACACCGGUGGCGAAGGCGGUUUACUGGACCAUAACUGACGCUGAGACACGAAAGCGUGGGGAGCAAACAGG